rnacentral:rRNA from 1 species
CCCUCCGGUAUUCCGGGGGGCAUGCCUGUUCGAGCGUCAUUACAACCCUCAAGCUCUGCUUGGUGUUGAGCCCGCCCCGGCCUGCCCGGGGCUCGCUUCAAAGUCAGUGGCGGCCGCCGUCCGACCUUCAGCGCAGUAAUGCUCGCCGCUGUUAGGGAAGGGUAGCAAGGGCCGUCAUACAACCCCCACACACAAGGUUGACCUCGGAUCAGGUAGGGAUACCCGCUGAACUUAAGCAUAUCAAUAAGCGGAGGAAAAGAAACCAACAGGGAUUGCCUCAGUAACGGCGAGUGAAGCGGCAACAGCUCAAAUUUGAAAGCUGGCUCCUUCGGGGCCCGCGUUGUAAUUUGUAGAGGAUGCUUCGGGCGCGGCACCGGUCUAAGUUCUCUGGAACGAGACGUCAUAGAGGGUGAGAAUCCCGUAUGUGACUGGCUGCCUGUGCCCAUGUGAAGCUCCUUCGACGAGUCGAGUUGUUUGGGAAUGCAGCUCAAAAUGGGAGGUGUACUCCUUCUAAAGCUAAAUAUUGGCCAGAGACCGAUAGCGCACAAGUAGAGUGAUCGAAAGAUGAAAAGCACUUUGGAAAGAGAGUUAAACAGUACGUGAAAUUGUUGAAAGGGAAGCGCUUGCAAUCAGACUUGCGCGGCGUCGAUCAGCCUGGGUUCUCCCUGGUGCACUCGGCGCCGCUCAGGCCAGCAUCAGUUUCGGAGGUGGGAUAAAGGCCUAGGGAACGUGGGUCCCCUCGGGG